rnacentral:rRNA from 1 species
GAGUGAAAGAGAACUUGAAACCGUGUGCUUACAAGUAGUCAGAGCCCGUUAAUGGGUGAUGGCGUGCCUUUUGUAGAAUGAACCGGCGAGUUACGAUCUGAUGCAAGGUUAAGCAGCAAAUGUGGAGCCGCAGCGAAAGCGAGUCUGAAUAGGGCGUUGAGUAUUUGGUCGUAGACCCGAAACCAGGUGAUCUACCCUUGGUCAGGUUGAAGUUCAGGUAACACUGAAUGGAGGACCGAACCGACUUACGUUGAAAAGUGAGCGGAUGAACUGAGGGUAGCGGAGAAAUUCCAAUCGAACUUGGAGAUAGCUGGUUCUCUCCGAAAUAGCUUUAGGGCUAGCCUCAAGUGAUGAUUAUUGGAGGUAGAGCACUGUUUGGACGAGGGGCCCCUCUCGGGUUACCGAAUUCAGACAAACUCCGAAUGCCAAUUAAUUUAACUUGGGAGUCAGAACAUGGGUGAUAAGGUCCGUGUUCGAAAGGGAAACAGCCCAGACCACCAGCUAAGGUCCCAAAAUAUAUGUUAAGUGGAAAAGGAUGUGGCGUUGCCCAGACAACUAGGAUGUUGGCUUAGAAGCAGCCAUCAUUUAAAGAGUGCGUAAUAGCUCACUAGUCGAGUGACACUGCGCCGAAAAUGU